UGUUGACAGGCGAAUUCAAAUAAUGUUGACAGAAAAUGAAGGUAUCAGCUGGUCUUACUUGUCGAUCUUAUAAUUGGGCCAUGGACUAUAUUUAAUAGUUCCGGCGGAUUAACCCAUAGUAGAAGAAUACAGGUAGAUGCAGCAAUGCCAACAUUUUUAAAAUGUUUUGUCAAAACUAAGUAAAUUUUUAUAUGUAUUCUUAUACGGUGCAAAUCGGUGGUUGAUAUGUGGUUGAUAUGUAUUUUUCAACAAUUUUUACAAAUUUCAAUAAUUUUUAAUACAACAUUUUCAUUUCCAAAAUUGGAUUGAUAAUUCAUUGUCCCACCAGCUGCGUCGAUGCGACUACCUGUAUUCUUCUACACACGGUUUACUCAUGGUAGCAAAAUACAGGUAGAAGGACGUAGCUAAAUCGACAUAGAAUUUUAUGCUGAUCAAGAAUAUACAUAAUAUAGUCUAAAAUGUUUAUUUCGAGGUGACAAAUCUUAUAUACCCUCCAUACUAUGGUAAAGGCUAUAAAAAGAUAAGAAACUUACUUUUCAAAAAUGGUGAGAGUUUGCAAUUUGCAUUGACCUGAUCCGCCCAUGCAUUUGUUUCAGAAAUACGACAAAUUUUCUAUUACGAACUCUGUCAUCAGUUUACAAAUGUAAUAGUUGGUCAGCCUCGCUGCAUUCUAGGUCUUACAACACUGUCCGCUGCCAUUGAUAAAAUUCGCAUAUCCGAUACCAAACUCACCCCCAUAUAUGAUGAUCUUGGCCAAAUAAGUCCUUAAUCGAUGUGUUUGUUAAAAAAUGUAUUAAAAAUUUUCAAUUAAAUUUUACAUUUAGUUCCAA